CAGUAGCCGCGGGAAUACGUAGGUGGCAAGCGUUGUCCGGAAUUACUGGGCGUAAAGCGUGCGCAGGCGGUUGUGUAAGACAGGUGUGAAAUCCCCGGGCUUAACCUGGGAACUGCGCUUGUGACUGCACAGCUAGAGUAUGGCAGAGGGGGGUGGAAUUCCACGUGUAGCAGUGAAAUGCGUAGAGAUGUGGAGGAACACCGAUGGCGAAGGCAGCCCCCUGGGCCAAUACUGACGCUCAUGCACGAAAGCGUGGGGAGCAAACAGGAUUAGAUACCCCGGUAGUCCCUGUCUCUUAUAC
rnacentral:rRNA from 1 species